rnacentral:rRNA from 1 species
GACGGAGGAUGCAAGCGUUAUCCGGAAUUAUUGGGCGUAAAGCGUACGCAGGUGGUCCAUCAAGUCUAUUGUCAAAGAGCAGAGCUCAACUCUGUAAAGGCGAUAGAAACUGGUGAGCUAGAGUAUGGUAGGGGCAGGAGGAAUUCCCAGUGUAGCGGUGAAAUGCGUAGAUAUUGGGAAGAACACCAGUGGCGAAAGCGUCCUGCCAAGCCAAAACUGACACUCAUGUACGAAAGCUAGGGGAGCGAAUGGG